rnacentral:rRNA from 1 species
GAUGAACGCUGGCGGCGUGCUUAACACAUGCAAGUCGAACGAAGCGCUUGAAUGGAAUUCUUCGGAAGGAAGCUCAAGUGACUGAGUGGCGGACGGGUGAGUAACGCGUGGGUAACCUGCCUCAUACAGGGGGAUAACAGUUAGAAAUGACUGCUAAUACCGCAUAAGCACACGUGAUCGCAUGAUCGAGUGUGAAAAACUCCGGUGGUAUGAGAUGGACCCGCGUCUGAUUAGCUAGUUGGUGGGGUAACGGCCCACCAAGGCGACGAUCAGUAGCCGGCCUGAGAGGGUGAACGGCCACAUUGGGACUGAGACACGGCCCAA